GAUGAACGCUAGCGGCAGGCUUAAUACAUGCAAGUCGAGGGGCAGCACGGUUAGCAAUAACUGGUGGCGACCGGCGCACGGGUGCGUGACACGUAUACAAUCUACCUUAAACAGGGGGAUAGCCUUUCGAAAGAGAGAUUAAUACCCCGUAAUAAAUUGAACGGCAUCGUUUGAUUUUGAAAGCUCCGGCGGUUUGAGAUGAGUAUGCGUCUGAUUAGCUAGUUGGUGAGGUAACGGCUCACCAAGGCGACGAUCAGUAGGGGAUCUGAGAGGACUAACCCCCACACUGGUACUGAGACACGGACCAGACUCCUACGGGAGGCAGCAGUAAGGAAUAUUGGUCAAUGGAGGCAACUCUGAACCAGCCAUGCCGCGUGCAGGAUGAUGGCCCUAUGGGUUGUAAACUGCUUUUAUACAAGAGAAAACCCUGGUACGUGUACCAGGUUGAUAGUAUUGUAAGAAUAAGCAUCGGCUAACUUCGU
rnacentral:rRNA from 1 species